AUGUCGGGGCAGCAAAAGCUUUAGGUUUUGGGAAGAAGAGUGAGCCUAAGGCAAAGGAAGCCACCAAGGGUGGGAAAUCAAAGAGUCAAUCAAUUAUAGCUCAAUCUUUCCCAAAGAUGGAUAGUGCCAAAGGCAAAGGUAACACGAGCAGUGCUGCUAAUUAUCUUUUUGGAAACAAGAAAGUUGCGGGCACGACGUCUGGAGCUCCAAAGACCAUCAAAAUCCCGCACAUCAUCGGUUCGGCCUCUAAAUAAAUAAUAUGCCUAUGACGGUGGACGACGAUUACAAAUAAUGCUGCUCUUUUAUUUCUGUUUUCUUUUUUGGUACUCGUCCGCUGUAUUUCUUUUGUAACUGUUUUUGAUAUAGUUUACUUUAUUAAUAUGCUGA